CUUGUGGACCAGUGUACCCUGACCACUGGUACAGGGGGGGCUUCCAGUUUCUGCUCCCUUGGCUCCCCUAUCUUUCUCUGCCAGGUCAUUUACCGUGAACAUUGAACUAAGAAGUAUGCUAGAAGAGAAAUCACCUGGAAGAAUAAACAACAAAACAUUUCUGUCAAUUUUCAAAAGGUGACACAUGUAGUGGUUUGGUUAUGUAGUACAACAUCGUGACACCCUAAUUGUAGUAAAUAUAAACAUGCAUAGACAAACCUCUAGUAAAAGAGGUUUAGGAAGAUCACAAAAGGGGUGGUCGAGCAACGAAAGAAUGAAAAUAAUGGUAAAUUUGAGAUUGUCUGAUGACCAGAAAAGAUAAGGCAUGUUAUUGUGUUUCUUAUUAUACACCUAGUGCCUUUCUGUGUGGUAAAUAGCUUGUUUACCAACCACAUGGUUCCGGGUUCAUUCCCACUGCGUGGCACGUCUUCUACUGUAGCCUCAGGCCAACAAAAGCUUUGUGAGUGGAUUUGGUAGACGGAAACUGAA